rnacentral:rRNA from 1 species
AAAGCGUGCGCAGGCGGUUAUAUAAGACAGAUGUGAAAUCCCCGGGCUCAACCUGGGACCUGCAUUUGUGACUGUAUAGCUAGAGUACGGUAGAGGGGGAUGGAAUUCCGCGUGUAGCAGUGAAAUGCGUAGAUAUGCGGAGGAACACCGAUGGCGAAGGCAAUCCCCUGGACCUGUACUGACGCUCAUGCACGAAAGCGUGGGGAGCAAACAGGAUUAGAUACCCCAGU